GGGGCGGUGGCGCAGCUGGGAGCGCGUCAGACUGAAGCUACAACUUCAGCCAAUUAUCUGAAGGUCAUCGGUUCAAGCCCGGUCCACCCCA